AUUGAACGCUGGCGGCAUGCCUUACACAUGCAAGUCGAACGGCAGCACGGGUGCUUGCACCUGGUGGCGAGUGGCGAACGGGUGAGUAAUACAUCGGAACGUACCUUAUCGUGGGGGAUAACGCAGCGAAAGCUGUGCUAAUACCGCAUACGCCCUGAGGGGGAAAGCGGGGGAUCGCAAGACCUCGCGCGAUUAGAGCGGCCGAUGCCUGAUUAGCUUGUUGGUGGGGUAAAAGCCCACCAAGGCGACGAUCAGUAGCUGGUCUGAGAGGACGAGCGGCCAGACUGGGACUGAGACACGGCCCAGAAUCCGAAGGGAGGCAGCAGUGGGGAAUUUUGGACAAUGGGGGCAACCCGGAUCCAGCAAUGCCGCGUGGGUGAAGAAGGCCUUCGGGUUGUAAAGCUCUUUUGUCAGGGAAGAAACACCGGCUCUAACACAGUCCGGGAAUGACGGUACCGGAAGAAUAGGCACCGGCUAACUACGUGCCAGCAGCCGCCGCCG
rnacentral:rRNA from 1 species